GAUGAACGCUGGCGGCGUGCCUAAUACAUGCAAGUCGAGCGAACAGAUAAGGAGCUUGCUCCUUUGACGUUAGCGGCGGACGGGUGAGUAACACGUGGACAACCUACCUAUAAGACUGGGAUAACUUCGGGAAACCGGAGCUAAUACCGGAUAACAUAUUGAACCGCAUGGUUCAAUAGUGAAAGGCGGCUUUGCUGUCACUUAUAGAUGGAUCCGCGCCGUAUUAGCUAGUUGGUAAGGUAACGGCUUACCAAGGCAACGAUACGUAGCCGACCUGAGAGGGUGAUCGGCCACACUGGAACUGAGACACGGUCCAGACUCCUACGGGAGGCAGCAGUAGGGAAUCUUCCGCAAUGGGCGAAAGCCUGACGGAGCAACGCCGCGUGAGUGAUGAAGGUCUUCGGAUCGUAAAACUCUGUUAUCAGGGAAGAACAAAUGUGUAAGUAACUGUGCACAUCUUGACGGUACCUGAUCAGAAAGCCACGGCUAACUACGUGCCAGCAGCCGCGGUAAUACGUAGGUGGCAAGCGUUAUCCGGAAUUAUUGGGCGUAAAGCGCGCGUAGGCGGUUUUUUAAGUCUGAUGUGAAAGCCCACGGCUCAACCGUGGAGGGGUCAUUGGAAACUGGAAAACUUGAGUGCAGAAGAGGAAAGUGGAAUUCCAUGUGUAGCGGUGAAAUGCGCAGAGAUAUGGAGGAACACCAGUGGCGAAGGCGACUUUCUGGUCUGUAACUGACGCUGAUGUGCGAAAGCGUGGGGAUCAAACAGGAUUAGAUACCCUGGUAGUCCACGCCGUAAACGAUGAGUGCUAAGUGUUAGGGGGUUUCCGCCCCUUAGUGCUGCAGCUAACGCAUUAAGCACUCCGCCUGGGGAGUACGACCGCAAGGUUGAAACUCAAAGGAAUUGACGGGGACCCGCACAAGCGGUGGAGCAUGUGGUUUAAUUCGAAGCAACGCGAAGAACCUUACCAAAUCUUGACAUCCUUUGACCGCUCUAGAGAUAGAGUUUUCCCCUUCGGGGGACAAAGUGACAGGUGGUGCAUGGUUGUCGUCAGCUCGUGUCGUGAGAUGUUGGGUUAAGUCCCGCAACGAGCGCAACCCUUAAGCUUAGUUGCCAUCAUUAAGUUGGGCACUCUAAGUUGACUGCCGGUGACAAACCGGAGGAAGGUGGGGAUGACGUCAAAUCAUCAUGCCCCUUAUGAUUUGGGCUACACACGUGCUACAAUGGACAAUACAAAGGGCAGCUAAACCGCGAGGUCAAGCAAAUCCCAUAAAGUUGUUCUCAGUUCGGAUUGUAGUCUGCAACUCGACUACAUGAAGCUGGAAUCGCUAGUAAUCGUAGAUCAGCAUGCUACGGUGAAUACGUUCCCGGGUCU
rnacentral:rRNA from 1 species